CUGAAAUAGCAGCUAUGUACUGGAAGAGGAGUUGUAAAUAAGAGCCGCGUACUAACGACAGAAUUUUUAAGUGGUAACCGGGACAGAAAGAGCAGCUUACGAGUAAAAUUCGAUCUGAGAAUUGAUAAUAGCAUCCGAGUGCUUAGCAUACAACCCGGAAGUACAAGCGACCAACAAGAAUAUUCAUCUACGUGUUCUAAGGGUACUUGUCUAGCAGAGAGUGAUGGGUUCUUAAAGUGAGCUGAGAUGCUUCAGGUCUCACGAACCCAACAUGGUAGCUCAAACCUGGCACUGUGGCUCAGACUGUACAUAUAUGGUCUCCAUGGCUUCUUCAUUGAAGUCCUUUUUACUGCGGGCUGGGAGUUUAUCAUCAGUGGCAACUGGAAACUCCCAGGUUACACAAGUGUAUGGUCACUCGCCAUCUACGGCAUAUCAGGCAUGAUCAUGGAGCACAUAUAUGCUGCUUGCAAAAAAUCGAGAGUGCCCCUUCUGCUUCGUGGAAUCUGUUACCUGUUAUGGGUGUACAUGUGGGAGUUCUCUACAGGUUUCAUACUGAAGCAAUUCAAUGCGUGCCCAUGGGACUACUCUGAGUUUAAUUAUAAUGUUCAAGGACUUAUAACAUUUGAAUAUGCUCCAUUAUGGUUUUUGGUCUCGAUAUUAAUGGAAAGAGUUGUUAUUGCACAUGUAUCAGAACUACACUGGGCCACAUCACCAUCUCAUAAUGGACUUGCCGCAAGAUUCAAAGACUGAAGAGCCAAGCCAGUUAUCAUGUAUGUACAAUAUUAUAUUGCUUGCACUGUACCUGGAGUUAAGAAUUUUAACACCUGUAAGAUAAAAAAGUACAACUACAGUGCUGGCCAAAGUUAAGAAAAAUAAAAGUCACCAGUCAUCAGCUAAAACGGUAUGAUAAUAUUAUAAACUAUUGUAAGAUUGUUCUGGAAGUACAUCCACUACUUCAGAUGCAUAUUCUAAUGCAUGGCUACUGGAUCAAACUACAAAUAUUCCAAACCAUAAUAUUUACAUCCAGGUACAAACUUAAUACUAAUAUCAAUAAAAUUGACAACAAUAAUAAAUUUAAUUUUGUGAUGAUUUUGAAAGUGUUAUGUCAGAAAUUAAUUCUGGCAUUCAUUGAAUAUGUCUGAUUAUUUAUAUUCUUAUUGGCCAUUGACCUGGCAUUAUGUGAUUAGUAACUUCAUCAAUCUAUAUAAAUAUAUUCUGUCAUGAAAAAAAUGGUUAAUUUAUUGUCAGAUUAAUAGAAAACAUGUUAUUUGAAAACUGUAAGCAGAUAAUAGUUUUUCAAGGUCAAGUAACAAGCUGUAUGGUAUAAUUUUGUGCAUGUGAGCCAAAUUACUUAGUAGCAAAAUUGGUGGUUAAUUGUUAAAUCGACUAUGUAGACAAUUUAAUCGGUUUACUGUAACAGAUUAGUUUUACUGCACCUAAAAUGACCUUUCAGACUAAAAAAUUGCAGUAACUUUUUGGCAUAAUUAGCCCAGAAACUCAGUAAUUGUAAGUAUAUGGUAAUCAGUCCUGUUUUUAUGAAAUAUAAGCAGAAAUGGCUGUAAAGUGGAACAAGUAUACAUGCACCCAUUGAUUCCAAAACUUUGACUUAUAAAAAUUAAAAUAAAGAAAAGAUUAUCACAUGUUAACGAGUACUAACUCUAAUUUCAAUAUUUAUGAUGAAAAUACACUCCUCUCUUUGGUAGUUAGUGGUAAAGAAAGCACAUACUUCAGAUCAGUUUGAUUUCUUAAAUAGAAUCUUUUAUCUGUAAACUACUAUAUUUAAGCAAAUGGCAUUUUAGAAUUACUGGGUUUUCAGAUGUCCAUCGUUCAGUAUUCUAAAAAUGAGAGAACAGAAUGUUUCAGAAACUGGACCUGUUUCCUUUCUCAGGUGAGGGGGGGAGACACCUACUUUGCUGGGUCCCUUAGAAAGCGCUACCUCAAUUAAGGUCAGUUAGUUUUUAGAAUACCGGAUGCUGUACAAAGUCUGAAAACCCAGUAAUUCUGAGUGUUACACACCAUCGGCAGUACCCCUUAGAAUCGAACAGCAUUUUAUUUGCUUGCACAAAGCCACAUGGCACUGUCCAUAUUUUGAUGUGGAAGAAAGAAUUCUCAUUGUCUACUCUUUAAGGCUCGAAGUAUUCAUCAUUCAAUUUAUGGAGUUUCUGAACACCCAAAGUGUAGUGCCAAUUACUGUCAUAAAACCAUAUUAGUUUACAAUUAUGUAAUUUUAAGGUAUGCAACUUGAACUAAUAAAGAGCCAAGAUAGCACAGUCGGUAUAUUGACUGGCUAUGGGAUGGACAUCCAAGGGGGUGGUGUUUGAGUCCUGGUGGAGGCAAAAAUUUUAGCUUCAUGUCAUCCAGACUAGUUCUGUGGCCCACUCAGCCUCCUAUCCAAUGGUACCAGGGGCCUUUUCCCUGGGGCUAAAUCGGCCAAGGCAUGAAGCUGACCACUCACCUCCAACUAGUGCUGACAUCAAGAAAACAUGGGUCUAUAUAUCCACUGUGCCACAUGCCUUCAUGGCAUAGCGCUUAAUUAGUUAAGCACAGGGCAACUUUUACGUGAACUAAAGAGCCAUGACUAAAUAUCUUGGGACAUGCUUUAUUGGAACAAUGUUGUUAUUAAGUCUAUUAGGAUCCAUAUUAAAUUCAACACAGUAACAAAUAUUUCACUUCUAUAAAGUUUGAUAUUUCUAAUGAGUAUGAUAAACUUUAGAAUAAUAUCCAUUUUUUAUAGAUGUGAUAUGGUAGAUCUCAGCUGUGAAUGGAAAAUAGCGUUUUUAAUCUGUUCUGAUACUUACUGAUGAAAAUCUAGACAGAAGGAACCUGUAAGGCAAAUGAAAUAUGACUGUUCACCUAAAGUAAUUACAACAUACAAAAUUAACAGUAUACAUAAGCAUGUACAUAGUUUAGUUUCAUAGAAUUUAAAAAUCUCAGUACAUUUAAAAUCCAUGUCAUUCAGUCAGAAAUGCAGCGCCCUUGAUAUGUCCAAAAAGCACUUAUGUCAGAAGUGUUUUAGCUUCAACAGUUCUAGCUAGAUAUAAGUCUUCCUUAUUCUGUAUUAAAACAGAAAUAUUCAGAUGGCAGAGUCUUCAUGGUCUGUUAUAAUAAGAAAGAAGGUUCUAUUUGAAGUAGCAUGACUUAAUGUUGAGUUGUUGUUAGUACUUAUAUUUGGAUGUGAAUGUGACUCGAUGAUCUUAAGUUUGCUGCAUACAAAUUAUGAAUUGUAGCAUGUAAAGGGUCACAAAAUAUAUUUAAAACAAGAAUAAUAUAAAAGCCCUCUGCAACAUUUAAAAAAUCAAUUACCACUUUAAUCUCAAGAGGUUUGCUUCUUUUUAUGGUGUGGUUCAGAUUUUAUGUAGCAUCAGAUUUUCUGCAGAAACACUUCCCUCCCCCUUGCCCCAACUAACGGAGCAAUACAUCAGUACGCUGAAGAGAAGUAAAAUCAUAUCUUCCCCUGGUAUUACCUUUCAUUUCCAUCAGUUCCUCAACCACAUGUUCUUACGUGGUACAACUCCAAUAUGAAAGCCUAGUAACCUACUGCAACAUUUCCUUAGUUAUCUCAAACCAAUGUUCACUACAGGGCUUGUUGAAAUAUGUUGAAAACAUUCAAUAUGCUAUAAAAUGGCGCCUAAUUAGGCUACAGAAACUGUUUCCUUGACAGAAAUCAAGCAUUAGGAAUGGAAAUGGUUUCUCAGCACUACGUAGAUCCUCCAGGUCAGUAGAUAAGCCUGGGGGAAUGAAAAGCACACAUUUAUGGUAAGGAAUGAGAGUUACAGCGUCUUAAGGCAACAGAUUAAAAAAAAAGCGUUUUAGAACUAAGUACAGAGCGUCUGCUCGCAUCUAUGCUAAGCACUCAUAACAUAUUUUCCACCAAUUUACCUAUGGUAGCUUAAAGAUUCACUAUGCCUUUGUUACACAUACUUCAUGUGUGCUGUCUUAACAGGACAGCUUCAUCCAGAACUUCACAAAGAAAUAUAUUCACGUGUAAUUUUACAAAAUAGUAGUAGACAAAAUUAAGACUUAGUAGACAUAAAAUGCUCUCAAUUGUCGAAAUAAAAUUAUUGCUUAUGAACAUUCUAAUUGAACCUGACAGUAAAGAGUAUGUUUUUCUCCUGGUUCCUUCUGUUGCCAGUUACCCAUCGUCAUUUAAAAAUCACUCCAUGCUAAUAUCUCACUGACCCCCCCCCCCUCCAAACCUCACCCCAAGCUGUGUGACAGCCCUGACCACGCUGCACAUUAAAGUUUUGGUCUUCAUCUCUGACCCAGUGUAUCUGCUGCUUAAGCAACAGAGUAUGGGAGUUAGUGAGGUGUCUGUCAUGGAGUAACUACCAAAACUAUUGACAAGGUGAAAGGGCACAAGUUCUGUGUAGAAUGAAAUUUAUCUGUUCAUGAGAGAGUAGGUUCUGAAAAGAAAAAAAAUACAGAGUCAAAUUGCUUUUAAGAGAUGGUGAGCAAAAAUUUACAGUAGUCAUUUACAUUUGUUGGUUAAAAACAUCUCUGAAUGUUGGAUGUGCCUUGAGUAGGCAGUCUUACAGAAGAAAAUCCCUGUUUUUUUAACAUAAUGUUCAGUAUGGUGACUUUGGUUCCCACCACAGUUGUGGCUCAUAAACAUCUGAACAAGUGGGGCAGCCAACACCAAGCAAAAUUUAUCUCCUUUCCCAUGCCUAUAUUUAAUGAAAUAAGGGGGAAAUUAUAUUUUUGUUUAUGUGUUAAUAUUUCAAGUGUUUAUUUUCAGGUUACAUAGGCAUCUUCUUACAGCAACUUAGGCUUAUCCGGUGUUGAUACAGGCAUUUUAAACUAAAGGGUUCUCUCGCUCUGUAACCUGUGACUAAAUAUUUAUUUCUCUUGAUGGGAAUACAGUCUUCCCUUAGGUCGAAUGAGGAUUUGAACCCUGCUAGGCUCAAAUGUGCCCUAUACUGCCCAUGGGUCGAUCAUGCAGGCAGAAGGACAGAUUUCCACUUUUUUACUUCAGGUGUUUCAGCAGGGAUUUGUACAAGCCUAAAAAUACACUGUUCAACCACCUACCAAUUUUGACCAAUAUCAUUCCUCACAUCUUUCUUUAGGCAUGGCAAAAAAGAUUGAUAUGUAACCGAAUCACUCAUACGCUUCCUCGUCAACUACUCUUCAUCCAUCAGUGUAAUAUGAUUUUGAUUCUGUCCUUGGGUCUUUGCAGUGGGUGGAUAUUGGCAGUGUUUCCUACAUUUUGGAGGUACAUACUUCCUCCAUCUUCAGGACCUGAAGAUAAUGGCACCAUGUACAUCUGACGCAGGCAAUACUGCCCGCAUCAAAGAGUGUAAAGAAGCAUCUAACACAGGAUUCCUAAUAAACUUUCUACUGUAUUCACAUUACAGGCUUGUCACUCAAAAUAACACACUUCACAUAAUCAUAUUUAAUCUCGUAUAAAUGAAAAAUGCAAGAAACCUAAAAUGUUAACACAUGCUUUUCUAACGAUGUAGCCAGGUAUAUGCGGUGGGAGGGAGAAUAAUGGAUGUUCAGGGAUGUUGGGGAGACAUGAAUACACACUGAAUUCUAUGAACACCUGAUAGGCCCCAGUCUCCCAACCCAGGUACAACAGAAGAGUCUUGAGAGGGAAAGGUAAAAAUACCUAUCAAGGACCAUAAGCAAGUGGAUGUAACUAUGAUGGAAGAGUUAGAUAAAGCUACGGCCCAUGAGACAAGGCUUUCCAUGAAUUUUGAACACUGAGGCAUUACAUUUUUGAGGGGCUCAGCUUUGGCCCCUAAGGAGUGCCUGCCAAUGUCCCACUGUAGGUAUAAAAUAAAAUUUAGUAGUGUUCUAAUGAUAAUAUAAAGAUCUAUGUCAUUAUCUGAUAAUAUGCCAUCAAAGAUACCUUAGACAAAGAAUACUGACAAACUUUGUUUUAGUUGUAGAAGCUGUAUGAUCCUCCAAAACCUCAGCAAACUUCCACAGGUUUAUGAAGUGUUACCCCUCAGAAGAUGGUACCCCUUCUAGUGCUGUGAAAAAAAAAGACCUAACAUUAAAUUCAUUUAUUCAUAUUUUUAAAUCUCUGUUGUUAAUAAUUAGCAACAUUUUUUUCCAGAGAAUUGUUAGUGUUUUAUUAUUCAUUCUAUUUCUGUACCAUUAAAUCAAUUUUGUAGAUAAAAUCGAAUUUUAUAAAAAUUCAUUCCUAAUCAAAAUUUCAGCAUUAAAUAUUUGACAUCCAAAAUGUUAAGAACUUAUCUUUUAUAGUAAUUUUCCCCCCAUUGUGACAAACUAGCAUGGAUGGUUCAACCCUCUGAAGUCCAAUUAUUUCAAUAUGCAGUUUCAGUAUGCAAUAUUUUAAAGUUGUCAGAUUUAACCCAACAUUAGCCUAACAUGUGAUUUUCUGAGUGUGAGAUUGAGUUUGAUAUAAUAUUACUUUCACGAUCCAUUUGUCAAAACAUACAAUAUGUACCAGUUUCAGUUUAAAUUUAUUGUAUUCAAAAUUAAUAUAAUGUUGGACCCAUUUUUUUUUGUUCUUAAUUUUAAUGUUUGCAUCCUGUUGUGUGAGUAUAACUAAUAAUACAAAUUCCACCAUUAACACAACUAUGAUUUAUUAACUUAAGUUGCACUACAUGUUUCUACCCUUAUAGGGUCAUCUGCAGGUGCUGUAAUUUACACAUCUUUAUUACUGAAAUGUAAAGAGUGUAUUCAUAUUUACAUACAUAGACUUCAAAUAACUAAUUUCUAUGUACAUUUAUAUUGUAACUGGUUGGUUUAAUUACAAGAUAUAUAUGAACUAAAGGUUGAAAAUUAAAAAUUAAUUUUACUAUUCUGUAUUUCAGCAUCCUGUUGCAAUUGUUCAAAUUAGCGCCCAU